GGGCAUGUAGCAUAGGGGUUAUCGCGUUCGCUUUGCAUGCAGAACGGACAGAAGAUGUUUUGCGAAAGGUCUCCGGUUCAAAUCCGGACUUGUCCA